rnacentral:rRNA from 1 species
UACAGAGGGUGCGAGCGUUGUCCGGAAUCACUGGGCGUAAAGGGCGCGUAGGUGGCGUCGCAAGUCGAUGGUGAAAGCUCGUCGCUCAACGACGAGUCGGCCAUUGAUACUGCGAGGCUGGAGCACUGUAGAGGCAGAUGGAAUUCCGGGUGUAGCGGUGGAAUGCGUAGAGAUCCGGAAGAACACCGGUGGCGAAGGCGGUCUGCUGGGCAGUUGCUGACACUGAGGCGCGACAGCGUGGGGAGCGAACAGG